GAUGAACGCUGGCGGCGUGCCUAAUACAUGCAAGUCGAGCGAACAGACGAGGAGCUUGCUCCUCUGACGUUAGCGGCGGACGGGUGAGUAACACGUGGAUAACCUACCUAUAAGACUGGGAUAACUUCGGGAAACCGGAGCUAAUACCGGAUAAUAUAUUGAACCGCAUGGUUCAAUAGUGAAAGACGGUUUUGCUGUCACUUAUAGAUGGAUCCGCGCCGCAUUAGCUAGUUGGUAAGGUAACGGCUUACCAAGGCGACGAUGCGUAGCCGACCUGAGAGGGUGAUCGGCCACACUGGAACUGAGACACGGUCCAGACUCCUACGGGAGGCAGCAGUAGGGAAUCUUCCGCAAUGGGCGAAAGCCUGACGGAGCAACGCCGCGUGAGUGAUGAAGGUCUUCGGAUCGUAAAACUCUGUUAUUAGGGAAGAACAAAUGUGUAAGUGACUAUGCACGUCUUGACGGUACCUAAUCAGAAAGCCACGGCUAACUACGUG
rnacentral:rRNA from 1 species